rnacentral:piRNA from 1 species
UGACUUUUUGGAAUAUCCCAUGUAGUUCUGU